rnacentral:tRNA from 1 species
GGGGGGGUAGCUCAUUUGGCUAGAGCGCCUGUUUUGCACGCAGGAGGUAGAGGGUUCGACUCCCUUCCUCUCCACCA